UUCUAACUACUGAUUAGUCAUUGUCAACAUGCAGUACAACAAGGUUACUUAAGACUUAGUCAUUGUCAACAUGUGCACAGCCACACACUUUCUUUUAAAUGAUGCCGAUAAUGAUCAUUAUCCUCAAGUCAUGGCAUGCGGUGCUCCUGAUAGUACCCAUGAUAGCUUGUCUGUCGUGCGGAUUCUUGCCAACGAGGAUGUCCCCCACCCCAUCGCGCUUAAGACAAUGCGACCGUCCAUGUCCGCCGCGUACGCACAGGUGGAGAUGGAGCCCUAUCAAUCAAAGUCUACACUAAGUAACACAUAUGAUGACAUGGCCGUUGGUUACAUUGGUCCUUGUCAGACAUGCUAUGAAUGGCACCCGACGUAGUGACCACGGGACGAAAGUUUGUCCAACAGGUUGUUGGUCUCAUCAUCAUUCAACUGCAAUCUAUGGUCGAAGACGGCAUCAUAGAUAAUGGUCAGCCUAGGCCUUUGCCCUCUUAUGGAUAAGGUGAUCAAUUCACCCCUAUUGAGAUGAUUGUAGGUGAGGAAACGAUCUCAUUCAUCUCCUCCCAGCUGCGUCAUCAUUGGUACUUUUUCGACCUCCAUAGUCUAGGGGCCCCUAGGGACCUCGAAGAGCAUAGUGUCUUUGGUCAGCUCAUUGAAUUCCAACCUCACAUUGCAUGGGACGAUCUAUGUAACAAAAAACAGACACACGCACACAACAUUAAUGGUUAUAUCAAAAAAAAUAUCUUGUCAUAUAAGGUUUGUUGUUACCGCCAAAGGAACGACAUAGCACCGCUGGAAGUAUAUGCCUAACAGAUCGGUAGUUGCAGGGUGGUGGGCACACUUUGAUUUGCAUAUCUCACAUGGUGGUAGAUGGGCCAUUAUACGAAAAACAUUUGCAUAUCAUUUGCACAUUACAACAAUCGGAUUCUACAUACUAAGUGUGCAACCGGAUUCUACACUACUCAGGCCUCCUUUGUUUGGGCUACAGAUCAUAUAUUAUGUUUAAAAAAUUGUCUUCGUGUAAUAUUUUUUUCUCAUGCUCGAUCUCUUAAAACUGAAACAGAAAGUUCUGUCUAUGCUCAUAUUUUCAUUGUUCGUCACAUUUCCUUCGGGAAUUUUUAAUAACCGGAAGGUGAUAUCUCCUAUGGAACAAUACCAUGGGUACAUACGUCCUCCUAAGUAUGCACACAUUCAUACAAACGAGAAUAACAUAUUGUAGCAACGAGCAGGGAAAAGAACAUAUUGUUUGGGCAUCGAAUUCUAGCUACACUACUCAUUCAACAUGGGAAGGGGAAGAAAAGGGGCGCGAGGGGAGGGGAUCUCACCUGGUCACCAGGAGGUGGCGGCGGCGGUGACGAGCGGCGACGCCGGGCGAGGACCGGAGGUGGCGGUGGC
rnacentral:lncRNA from 1 species